rnacentral:rRNA from 1 species
GAUCAUGGUUCAGGAUGAACGCUAGCUACAGGCUUAACACAUGCAAGUCGAGGGGCAGCGGGAUUGAAGCUUGCUUCAAUUGCCGGCGACCGGCGCACGGGUGAGUAACGCGUAUCCAACCUUCCGUACACUCAAGGGAUAGCCUUUCGAAAGAAAGAUUAAUACCUGAUGGUAUCUUAAGCACACAUGUAAUUAAGAUUAAAGAUUUAUCGGUGUACGAUGGGGGUGCGUUCCAUUAGGUAGUAGG